AGGGCGCCAAACACAGUUUAAUUGCCAAACACGCAGCUGUCUUGGUCACUGUGUAUACUAAGUUUGUUUACUUUUCUGCGUUUGUGAUUAUGGAAUAUGGGUCUUUGGUUGAGACCCUCCCACUCCAGUUUCAUGCUCUUAUUUCAUUAUCAUAUUUCUAAUAUUCAUAGGACUGCAGACAUGGUGUACAACCUCUGUCUCUCCGUUCCUUUGGAAUAUUGAGGAGUCUUUGGAUGAACUCGCGUUUACUUCUGGCAAUAGCUAGCAAACCUUCAAGUGGGCUUGAUCAUCUUCUGUUGUUGGAUGAGCCAUAGCCAAUGUCAUCGCCGAUCGCAUCAUUUCGGAUGUCAUGACGGCGGUGCAGGAGGGAAGUCAACCAACUUUCCAAAGCUGAUAAAAUCAACCAGUCUAAGUAAGUUCUCUUGGUUGGAGAGUCAUUUGGGUGGUAACGAAGCAGUGGACGAGGCAAUCAAUCGAGCACACCAUUGAGACAUGGAUCAACCUCCACUGAUUGACGGAGCUGUGGUGACUAAGAUUGACACCAUUGAUGAUAAAAUUGAGUGAUAUUAA